CUUGGUCAUUUAGAGGAAGUAAAAGUCGUAACAAGGUCUCCGUAGGUGAACCUGCGGAGGGAUCAUUAAUAAGAUAAAAGACCUCUGGGUCCUUCAUCCUCAAACCUGUGGAAGCGAGAUGUGUUUCGGCGCCUCUGUGCGUCGAAUCUAUGCUGUUUAGCUUGUGUCUGACUGAAAACAAACAUUUAAAACUUUCAACAAAGGAUCUCUUGGCUCUCGUAUCGAUGAAGAACGCAGCAAAGCGCGAAAUGUAAUGUGAAUUGCAGAACAUUGUGAAUCAUCGAAUCUUUGAACGCACAUUGCGCCUCCCGUAAAUGGGAGGCAUGCCUGUCUGAGCGUCAUUUAAAACCAUAACCUUUGGGUUGUAUUGGGACUCGCCCUAUGGCGUCUCCUCAAAGUCAUCGUGUCUAAAAGCGUACGAGCUCCAUUAGGACAGAACGUUUGAGGACCCUAAACUCUCUGACUUGACCUCAGAUCAGGUAGGACUACCGCCUGGACUUAAGCAUAUCAAUAAGCGGAGGA
rnacentral:rRNA from 1 species